rnacentral:rRNA from 1 species
CCUACGGGUGGCAGCAGUAGGGAAUAUUGCUCAAUGGGGGAAACCCUGAAGCAGCAACGCCGCGUGGAGGAUGAAGGUUUUCGGAUUGUAAACUCCUUUUGUUAGAGAAGAUAAUGACGGUAUCUAACGAAUAAGCACCGGCUAACUCCGUGCCAGCAGCCGUGGUAAUACGGAGGGUGCAAGCGUUACUCGGAAUCACUGGGCGUAAAGAGCGCGUAGGCGGGAUAGCAAGUCAGAGGUGAAAUCCUAUGGCUUAACCAUAGAACUGCAUUUGAAACUGUUAUUCUAGAGUAUGGGAGGGGUGGGUGGAAUUGUGGGUGUAGGGGGAAAUGCCGAGGAGAUCAAGAGAAAUACGCAUGGCGAGGGCGACCUGCUAGAACAUAACGGACGCUGAUGCGCGAAGGCGUGGGGAGCAAACAGGAUUGGAUACCCCUUAGUC